AGCCCAGACAAGUUCAGUUCUGAAACAAACCCUGCCCCAAAAAAAGUGGCUGGAGAGGAGGCCUGGACGCUGAGACUGAAGAGUUACUCACCCUCCAAACAAACACAGCUACUGGAGAUUGGGGGAUCCCAAACAAUAAUAAUCUCACAAAGCCCCCAGAAGCAUGGGACACACCCCUUUGAUCCUACUGGUGGAAAGAUGGGAGUGGUGAAACUAGGGCAUGAGUUACUGAGGCUAUCGUGAGACACCCCAGAACUGUUUAAGAAAAGGUGGAGACAGAAAGACUGAAUUGAUUUAAACAGAAAGGGCCAAAUUAUACCACUCGAGGACUGUGUUAAGAUGAUGACUGGGAAACAAGAGGAGCAGAGGAUUGGAAAUCAAGGAACCAAACUGAAGUGUUGGAAAAUAGGCCUAACUACUGGACAGAAUAAAGUGAGGAUGGAUUAUUCCACCCAUUGCCUGUUUGGGCCCUUUAAGAGACUCUGGGGGAGAACACAACAAGAACUUUUACCAUCAGCAUGGCUGUGGUGAAAGGGUUGUUGCCGUGACACCAGACCUUGGAGUAAUGAAGCUCAAGUAUCCCCGCCCGUCAGUGAUGACCCCCAUGUGAUACAUGUGAGAUCCUCAUGUGCUCCUUUCUGCUCCCCAUUUUCCUACUGUCCUCUCUCUCUUUCUCUCAAGUUUUCACCUGAUCCUGAAAUCAGCUGUAAUGCAUCACACCAGCAUAGUGAGACAAGAUGGCCCAUCCAGCUCUACCCAGCCUGAGAAGGAUCAGUGAAUGAGAGGGACUUGACCAGACCAACAAGAUGAUGUCCCUGACCAGGGAGGUGAGCCGAAGUCCAAAUUAAGAGCUGUUGUGCCAACUGCCAGCCCAAAGCAUCCCUCCAUGACUGACCAACUGCCUUGUAUCCUGAGAACAUCACAAAAGCAAUAUUUUCCCCAUCUUCACUAUUCUAUCGCUUCUCUCCCUUCUGUGUCUGUCUUUUUUGUCGAAGGCACAAAAAAGUGACUAUUAUUUUCAAUUCAGAAUUGAACAACAGAAUUAGUCCUUUCUCCCACACCAAGAAUGACUCUUUGACAGAAUAAGAGACUUCAACAAAUAUCCACUAUAAAGGACUUUGAUAGGUUUUAAGUUUGUUUCGCACAAUCAAUUUCCGUAUCAGUGCUCUUUACCUUGUUUUGAUUCUUUUCCUUUUGUGUGUUUCAAUCAAUAAAUUCCUAGUGCUUGGUCUGAAUUUUAUAGUGUGGUUGCCACUGUAUUAAGCAGGCUGAGG